AGUCGUCAUUCGGCCAGGGAACGUUUCACACCCCAGAGACUUUAAAAGAGAUAAAACGCUCCGUUAGUUUUAUUCCGGGAAGCUUUAGGGCGUUAUCUCCCAGAUAUAGACCGACAUUUGCAGUGAAUUCUGAUUUGUUUUCAUGGUGUGAAAGUGUAUGUUGAAACAGGUUCAGUACGCCAAAGAAAAUAGUGCUAACACUUGCUGUUGUAAUUGUUUCUUUGACAAAUGCUUGGCUGAUUUGUUUCAACACGUCCAGUCCAGACUGCGCUCUACACGCGCGCGUGUGUGUAGGUGUGUGUGCUUACGUCAUAUUUGGUGAAGUACUUCAGCGUCCCUUCCCUCUCCGACAGGACAAAUCGCCUACUGAGGAACUGUCCGUUGUCCCGCCCUCUCUUCAUCAAGGCACCGUCUCGAGUACCUGCAGGAUCAAAGUGGGACAAACCCAGGGACUUCACCUUGCUCACAUCCGGGAUGUUGCGGUGGAUCCCGGAACAGGCCAGACAGAUGAAGACGCCCAACGAGGGGGAACCCCAGUCUGGAUCUGUGCAAAGAGAACAGGACAGCAUUGUUAUUGAACAGUGUGCACUCACAGUAACACGGUCCGCCUUGGAAGAACACAGCAUUCCUUAAAGAAGAUCAAGCCAAAUGAGAAGAAGCAGAAAGUCAAAAACAAACAAACAAAAACAAUAAAAAGUAUGGGCUGUCAAAAAUAACACAUUACGAGCAGUAACUUUAAAGGAAAACUACACUUUUUUGCCCAUCAUCCACGAACACACGUCUUUCUAAAGAUAUAAAAACAGCUAAAAAGAGACAAGUAAUUCAUGCAUGUAACGGGACACAUCUAUUCUGUCGAGAAAUAGGCAGCUCCAAGCCUUACCUUUUUAGGCUCUGUGAGCGAGUGUGUGAUGAAGCUAUUUGCUAGCCGGCUAGCAGCUAGCAGGUAUGGCAUCACUAUGGCAGUAACGUAGUUCUUUGAGGCAAUGUAAAUGUUAGGAAUCUGUAGGAAUCCGGAAGUGAGAAGGGUGCUAAGAAAGCUAAUUCUUAUAAAUUUCUGACUUUAUUUCUCUUAAAUUUAUUUUAUUUUCUCUUAAUGUAUGAUCCUUGUUAAUUUACAAAAUUUGUCAAAAUUUACAACUUAAUUC